rnacentral:tRNA from 1 species
AUACUUUUAGUUUAAUGGAAAAACGAUAGUCUUCGAAACUAUGAAUAUGGGUUCAAUUCCUAUAGAGUAUU